rnacentral:rRNA from 1 species
UGGAACGCCAGUUUCAGGGGAGCCAUUGUUGGGAUACCACCCUUGUGCUGCUGGGCUUCUAACCAGCGGCCUUUAUCAGGCCGGGGGACAAUGCCAGACGGGGAGUUUGACUGGGGCGGUCGCCUCCGAAAGGGUAUCGGUGGGGCUCAAAGGUUCCCUCAGAAAGGGCGGAAACCAUUCGAAGAGGGCAAAGGCAGAAGGGAGCUUGACUGCGACACCGACGGGUGGAGCAGGUACGAAAGUAGGACUUAGUGAUCCGGGGGUAUUAAGUGGGAAUGCCAUCGCUCAACGGAUAAAAGCUACCCUGGGGAUAACAGGCUUAUCACUCCCAAGAGUUCACAUCGACGGAGUGGUUUGGCACCUCGAUGUCGGCUCAUCGCAUCCUGGGGCUGUAGUAGGUCCCAAGGGGUGGGCUGUUCGCCCAUUAAAGCGGUACGCGAGCUGGGUUCAGAACGUCGUGAGACAGUUCGGUCCCUAUCCGGCGUGGGCGUAGGAUAUUUGAGAGGAGCUGUCCUUAGUACGAGAGGACCGGGAUGGACUGACCUCUGGUGUACCGGUUUGGACUGACGUGUGUUUAACGGUUUGAACCGCCAGUUACACGGCCGGGUAGCCAAGUCGGGAAGGGAUAAACGCUGAAGGCAUCUAAGCGUGAAGCCCCCCUCAAGAUGAGAUAUCCCAUUCGAAAGAAGUAAGACCCCUUGAAGACGACGAGGUAGAUAGGGCAGGGGUGGAAGUGCCGUAAGGCAUGGAGCUGACUGUUACUAAUCGGUCGAGGGCUUGACCUA